GACGAACGCUGGCGGCGUGCUUAACACAUGCAAGUCGAACGGAAAGGCCCUGCUUUUGUGGGGUGCUCGAGUGGCGAACGGGUGAGUAACACGUGAGUAACCUGCCCUUGACUUUGGGAUAACUUCAGGAAACUGGGGCUAAUACCGGAUAGGAGCUCCUGCUGCAUGGUGGGGGUUGGAAAGUCUCGGCGGUUGGGGAUGGACUCGCGGCUUAUCAGCUUGUUGGUGGGGUAGUGGCUUACCAAGGCUUUGACGGGUAGCCGGCCUGAGAGGGUGACCGGCGACAUUGGGACUGAGAGACGGCCCAGACUCCUACGGGGGGCAGCAGUGGGGAAUAUUGCACAAUGGGCGGAAGCCUGAUGCAGCAACGCCGCGUGCGGGAUGACGGCCUUCUGGUUGUAAACCGCUUUCGCCUGUGACGAAGCGUGAGUGACGGUAAUGGAUAAAGAAGCACCGGCUAACUACGUG
rnacentral:rRNA from 1 species